UACGUUUAGUUUGCUAACGCGUGAAGGCGAGCACUCUAGACGAACUGCCGUUGACAAAACGGAGGAAGGUGGGAUGACGUCAAAUCAUCAUGCCCCUUAUGUUCUGGGCUACACACGUGCUACAAUGGCCGGUACAGACGGACGCAAAGCCGCGAGGUGGAGCAAAUCCUAAAAAGCCGGUCUCAGUUCGGAUUGCAGGCUGCAAUUCGCCUGCAUGAAGUCGGAAUCGCUAGUAAUCGCAGGUCAGCAUACUGCGGUGAAUACGUUCCCGGGCCUU
rnacentral:rRNA from 1 species